CCAGUGGAGUCCCGGCCUACCAAUGUCUGACAAAUAUCUGUGAUUUUAAGGUACAAAAUACAACAAUUAGCUGGUUUGCUCACUGAUAACUACAAAGCAAGGAUAAUUCGUUGAUGCAAGACUUAAUAUUCAACACAACUUGAUUGAUUGAAUGUUUCAUACAACCUCUACUAGCCGACGAAGCCGUAUAGCCUAGCUGGGCCAGUGGGCCUAGGCUAGGGCCUAGGCUAGCUAGGACGGUGCAGCAGCUGAUGAUGCAGUGUUCGAUAAAAAAGAUAAGUGUUGGCACAUCUCACAGAUACGUGUGAAAAUCAUUUAUUCCAUUAACCAUUGUUGACUAUCAAAGAAGAGAAACCUGUGCUCACAACUACGGAAGGAUGAUCAGCCCUGGUAAUACAAAUACAAGGCACGGAACCAUUCAACAAUUGACUUAUUCUUUUUCCAAGCAAUUUAACUGGGGAGAAAAGGGAGAAAGGUGCUAACCGUAAAAACGCCCUGACAGGCAAGGCUACAGAUGCGGACAUUGGAAAGGUAGUAAAAGAAUGGCUGAAAUUUGCAGCGGAAAAGAUGAGGGCCGGAAUGAGAGGCAAAAGAGGCAGCGUCUUUAAUUUAGGGACGUGUUGUAAUUUCGUCCUGAACCUUUGUUUAUGUACAUUGAUUACACUGUGAGGAAUGUUUUGCUGGACAAAAUUUAAAGAAAUUUACGGAAAAAACAGUACUUGCAGCAAGAAACACAAUUGCUUGAAUCGAAAUUGUAUGCUAACGUGGGCAAGAAGUGCGAAUCUACAAGGCUGUUUACCGCCACUCUGAAGUACAUAAAAGGCCCAUGUCUUGCUAUCAACAUGGAUUUAGCUAUAGUUUACUAUAAUCAAAAUAAGACUUCCAUUUUGUAUGUCACUAUAUGGACGAGUGAAUGAAUUUAUAAAAUAGUAGUUCAUAAAAGUGAGACAGCAAGAACUCUGUAAUUAUAAAUUAAUUAUCAUAAAAUUAUGAACAUGAUUUGAAAGCUGGAGUUACACUCUAUGUUGUGGAAGUGAAAAUUCCUGUGUAAAUUGGAAUCAAGUUUUGAAAAUUCCUUUGUUAAAUAUCAUGUGUUAAAGUUUACUUCAAUAAUGUGUGUUGACAGAUGAUCAAUGGCUGAUAGCACCCGUCCGAUAACAGUAAUUUUGACUUAGUUCUGCUGUGUUCCUAAAAGGAGCCUUUUACUAUUCUUUGCAAAGGAAAUAAAAAUUAAAGAAAAUCCCGA